rnacentral:rRNA from 1 species
AAUCCAUAGGUUAAUGAGGCGAACCGGGGGAACUGAAACAUCUAAGUACCCCGAGGAAAAGAAAUCAACCGAGAUUCCCCCAGUAGCGGCGAGCGAACGGGGAGGAGCCCAGAGCCUGAAUCAGCAUGUGUGUUAGUGGAAGCGUCUGGAAAGGCGCGCGAUACAGGGUGACAGCCCCGUACACAAAAGCGCAUGUGCUGUGAGCUCGAUGAGUAGGGCGGGACACGUGGUAUCCUGUCUGAAUAUGGGGGGACCAUCCUCCAAGGCUAAAUACUCCUGACUGACCGAUAGUGAACCAGUACCGUGAGGGAAAGGCGAAAAGAACCCCGGCGAGGGGAGUGAAAAAGAACCUGAAACCGUGUACGUACAAGCAGUGGGAGCACAGGUUUACCUGUGUGACUGCGUACCUUUUGUAUAAUGGGUCAGCGACUUAUAUUCUGUAGCAAGGUUAACCGAAUAGGGGAGCCGGAGGGAAACCGAGUCUUAAUUGGGCGUUAAGUUGCAGGGUAUAGACCCGAAACCCGGUGAUCUAGCCAUGGGCAGGUUGAAGGUUGGGUAACACUAACUGGAGGACCGAACCGACUAAUGUUGAAAAAUUAGCGGAUGACC